AUACUACCCCCUCUGUCCAACAAAGGAUGUCUUAAGUUUGACUAAAUUUGAAUACAUCUAUACACUAAGUCAUGUAUAGAUACAUCCAAAUUUUUUGAGACAUCUUUUGUUGGAUGGAGGGAGUAGGAU
rnacentral:pre_miRNA from 1 species